rnacentral:rRNA from 1 species
GAGACAGCAGUAGCCGCGGUAAUACAGAGGGUGCGAGCGUUAAUCGGAUUUACUGGGCGUAAAGCGUGCGUAGGCGGCUUUUUAAGUCGGAUGUGAAAUCCCUGAGCUUAACUUAGGAAUUGCAUUCGAUACUGGGAAGCUAGAGUAUGGGAGAGGAUGGUAGAAUUCCAGGUGUAGCGGUGAAAUGCGUAGAGAUCUGGAGGAAUACCGAUGGCGAAGGCAGCCAUCUGGCCUAAUACUGACGCUGAGGUACGAAAGCAUGGGGAGCAAACAGGAUUAGAUACCCCCGUAGUCCCUGUCUCUUAUAC